rnacentral:rRNA from 1 species
CCUACGGGCGGCAGCAGUGGGGAAUAUUGCGCAAUGGGCGAAAGCCUGACGCAGCGACGCCGCGUGAGGGAUGAAGGUCUUCGGAUCGUAAACCUCUGUCAGCAGGGAAGAACGGUCACUGUGCUAAUCAGCAGUGAAUUGACGGUACCUGCAAAGGAAGCACCGGCUAACUCCGUGCCAGCAGCCGGGGUAAUACGGAGGGUGCGAGCGUUAAUCGGAAUUACGGGGCGUAAAGCGCUCGUAGGCGGUAUGUCAAGGCAAGGGUGAAAUCCCCGCGCUCAACGUGGGAACUGCCGUUGAAACUGGCAAACUGGAGUGUGUGAGAGGAGAGUGGAACUCCAGGUGUAGGAGUGAAAUCCGUAGAUAUCUGGAGGAACAUCAGUGGCGAAGGCGACUAUCUGGCACAUAACUGACGCUGAGGAGCGAAAGCGUGGGUAGCGAACAGGAUUAGAUACCCGUGUAGUC